rnacentral:rRNA from 1 species
UAAGGAAUAUUGCUCAAUGGGAGAAAUCCUGAAGCAGCAACGCCGCGUGGAGGAUGAAGGGUCUAUGACUUGUAAACUCCUGUAAAGAAGGAAAAAAUUCCCAUUAGAUGGGAGAUGAUGGUACUUCUGGAGUAAGCCCCGGCUAACUACGUGCCAGCAGCCGCGGUAAUACGUAGGGGGCAAGCGUUGUCCGGAUUUACUGGGUGUAAAGGGUGCUCAGGCGGAUUUGUAAGUCGGAGGUGAAAUCUUACAGCUUAACUGUGAAACUGCCUUUGAUACUGCAAGCCUAGAGUAUGGAAGAGAGUGAUGGAAUAUCUGGUGUAGCAGUGAAAUGCGUAGAUAUCAGAUAGAACACCAAUGGCGAAGGCAGUCACUUGGUCCAUUACUGACGCUAAAGCACGAAAGCGUGGGUAGCAAACA